GACGAACGCUGGCGGCGUGCCUAAUACAUGCAAGUCGAACGAGAGCGCCCGGUGCUUGCACUGGUCAAUCUAGUGGCGAACGGGUGAGUAACACGUGGGUAACCUGCCCAUCAGAGGGGGAUAACAUCCGGAAACGGAUGCUAAAACCGCAUAGGUCUUCGAACCGCAUGGUUUGUAGUGGAAAAGAGGCGCAAGCUUCUGCUGAUGGAUGGACCCGCGGUGCAUUAGCUAGUUGGUGAGGUAACGGCUCACCAAGGCCGUGAUGCGUAGCCGACCUGAGAGGGUGAUCGGCCACAUUGGGACUGAGCCACGGCCCAAACUCCUACGGGAGGCAGCAGUGGGGAAUCUUCCGCAAUGGACGCAAGUCUGACGGAGCAACGCCGCGUGAGUGAAGAAGGUAUUCGGAUCGUAAAACUCUGUUGUUAGAGAAGAACAAGUGCUGGGGUAACUGUUAGCGCCUUGACGGUAUCUAACCAGAAAGCCACGGCUAACUACGUG
rnacentral:rRNA from 1 species